ACGGGAGGCAGCAGUGAGGAAUAUUGGUCAAUGGACGAGAGUCUGAACCAGCCAAGUAGCGUGCAGGAUGACGGCCCUCCGGGUUGUAAACUGCUUUUAGUUGGGAAUAAAAGAGGGGACGUGUCCCCUAUUGUAUGUACCAUCAGAAAAAGGACCGGCUAAUUCCGUGCCAGCAGCCGCGGUAAUACGGAGGGUCCGGGCGUUAUCCGGAUUUAUUGGGUUUAAAGGGAGCGUAGGCGGGCGUUUAAGUCAGUGGUAAAAGCGUGUGGCUCAACCAUACCACGCCAUUGAAACUGGACGCCUUGAGUGCACACAGGGAUGCUGGAAUUCGUCGUGUAGCGGUGAAAUGCUUAGAUAUGACGAAGAACUCCGAUUGCGAAGGCAGCCUUCUGGAGUGCGAUUGACGCUGAGGCUCGAAAGCGCGGGUAUCAAACAGGAUUAGAUACCCUGGUA
rnacentral:rRNA from 1 species